rnacentral:rRNA from 1 species
AGCUCAUAAACUAGCCCCCUACCUGAAUAAGUAAAAAAUAUUAACUACCACUAAUACACUUAAUUUAAACAACAAAUCAUUUUUCCCCCUUAGUAUGGGUGACAAAAAAGGAUCAUGGCGCAAUAGAGAAAGUACCGUAAGGGAAAGUUGAAAGAGAAAUGAAAUAACCCAGUAAAGCCUAAAAAAGCAGAGCGUAACGCUCGUACCUUUUGCAUCAUGUUUUAGCUAGUAAUACUCAGGCAAAGAGGACUUUAGUCUGAGCCCCCGAAACUAAGUGAGCUACUCCAAGACAGCCUAUUUUAGGGCACACCCGUCUCUGUGGCAAAAGAGUGGGAAGAGCUUUGAGUAGAGGUGAUAAACCUACCGAACUUAGUUAUAGCUGGUUACCUGAGAAAUGGAUAGAAGUUCAGCCUUUCGGCUUCUCUCGUCAUAGUAUACACCAGACCCCGAGAAACCAAAAGAGUUAGUCAAAAGAGGUACAGCUCCUUUGAAUUAAGAAACAACUUUUACAGGUGGAUAAAGAUCACAAAUAUUAAGGAUGAGUGUUCAGGUGGGCUUAAAACCAGCCAUCCAUAUAGAAAGCGUUACAGCUCCUACACAAUCCCAAUCCUACGAUUCUGAUAAUAAAAUCUUACUCCCCAACCCCUAACAGGUUAUUCUAUGCCUCCAUAGAAGAAAUAAUGCUAAUAUGAGUAAUAAGAGACACAGACUCUCUCCACGCACAAGUGUAAAUCGGCAUGGACCAUCCACCGAACUUUAACGGCCCCAAACAAAGAGGGUAUUAAAUUAUAACACAGGAAAACUAUUUACCACUUAACCGUUAAACCCACACUGGUGUGCCACCCAGGAAAGACUAAAAAGAAAAGAAGGAACUCGGCAAACACAAGCCCCGCCUGUUUACCAAAAACAUCGCCUCUUGAACCCCUAAAAAUAAGAGGUCCCGCCUGCCCAGUGACAAUAAGUUUAACGGCCGCGGUAUUCUGACCGUGCAAAGGUAGCGCAAUCAAUUGUCUUUUAAAUGAAGACCUGUAUGAAUGGCAUAACGAAGGCUUAACUGUCUCCUUUUCUAAGUCAAUGAAAUUGAUCUCCCCGUGCAGAAGCGGGGAUAGUAACAUAAGACGAGAAGACCCUAUGGAGCUUUAGACGAAAACAGACCUUGUUAAGUACCCCUACUAAAGGAUUAAACCAAAUUGACCCUGUUUGAAUGUCUUUGGUUGGGGCGACCGCGGGGAAAUAAAGAACCCCCAUGAGGACUGGAAACACUUUUCCACAGCUAAGAGCUCCCGCUCUAAGAAACAGAAUAUCUGACCAUAAGAUCCGGCAAUGCCGAACAACGAACCGAGUUACCCUAGGGAUAACAGCGCAAUCCCCUUUAAGAGCCCAUAUCGACAAGGGGGUUUACGACCUCGAUGUUGGAUCAGGACAUCCUAAUGGUGCAACCGCUAUUAAGGGUUCGUUUGUUCAACGAUUAAAGUCCUACGUGAUCUGAGUUCAGACCGGAGUAAUCCAGGUCAGUUUCUAUCUAUGAAAUGAUCUUUUCUAGUACGAAAGGACCGAAAAGAAGAGGCCUAUACUCAAAGUAAGCCUCACCCCCACCUAAUGAAAAUAACUAAAUAAGGCAAGAGGGCAUGCCCCCCCCAGCCUGAAAUUAAGGCU